rnacentral:rRNA from 1 species
CCGUGAAUACGUUCCCGGGCCUUGUACACACCGCCCGUCAAGCGAUGGAAGUCAGUGGUACCCGAAGUCUCGUAAGUGCCUAAGGUAAAACUGAUGACUGGCGCU